rnacentral:rRNA from 1 species
UACGUAGGUGACCAGCGUUGUCCGGAUUUACUGGGCGUAAAGAGCGCGCAGGCGGUCGUUCAAGUCGAGUGUGAAAGCCCCCGGCUCAACUGGGGAGGGUCAUUCGAUACUGAUCGACUUGAAGGCAGGAGAGGGAAGCGGAAUUCCCGGUGUAGUGGUGAAAUGCGUAGAUAUCGGGAGGAACACCAGUGGCGAAGGCGGCUUCCUGGCCUGUUCUUGACGCUGAGGCGCGAAAGCUAGGGGAGCAAACAGG